AUAUGCAAUGAUGAUUUCCUUUAUAUCCAGUUAUCCCUGUCAUAAGAAUAAUUGAUGAUACAUAGAUUAAACUGAUACAUAU